UAGGAAAAACUAUUGGGAUUGCACAUACAUUUUUAUUAAAAUUAUUUAAUAUUUUAUAUAGAAAUAUAGAAACUCAAAAUUAUUGUAAUUUAUAUACAACAAAAAAAUACCUAUUCAAUUUUAAUUAUAUUGUAUUUCGGUUUUUAGAUGCAAGCAGUUUUUCUAGGACUCUUAGUAGUGUCCACUGCGUUCGCUGCAGAACCAGCGAAGAAAAAUAAUAAAAGAUACUCCUUAGAUAUUGACAACAUCAGUGCCUUUGGUUCAUCUACUGCAGCUCCAUUAUCAUACGGUAGCUCAUUCGCGUCGAGUGUUUCUCCAUUCAAAUCUGUUUCUUACAGUUCCACUCCCGCUCCGUUUGCUUUUGGUAAAUCUUACUCAUCAAAUGCUUUUGCCAACGGUUUCGGUGCCCAAUCGUUUGACGGUGCAUCUUUCGUCGGAUCAUCCACUCCAGCUCCACUUCUCGAUGGAUCAUUCGCUUCUUCUUCCCCGGCAGCUUUAGUCGGAUCAUCUACCAUAGCACCAAUCGUAUCCGAUGCAAGCUAUGGAUAUUCGUCAUCUCCGUCUUCGAUUUUCUCAGGAGAUGGUGCAUCUAGUGCAUACGGAUCAUCCUUCUCUGGAGCCUACGCACCUAGUGUAUACGGAUCAUCCUUCUCGGGAGCCUACGCACCUAGUGCAUACGGAUCAUCCUUUUCCGGAGCCUACGCGCCAUCCUUCUCACAAGGAUCAUCGAUCUUCAAAUCAAAUGCUUACAGUAGUGAUGCCGUUGCAGUGUCAGUUACUCCGACUGUUCACAAACAAAUCAUUAUCACUAAACAAAUACCAGUCCCACAAUACGUCCAAGUCGAGAAGAAAGUACCGCACCCGGUAUAUGUCAAUGUACCACAACCGUACCCAGUUACUGUAGAAAGGAGAGUGCCAUAUGAAGUUAGAGUAAAUGUCGACCGUCCAGUCCAUGUACCUCAGCCGUACCCAGUGGAAGUUGAGAAGAGAGUGCCAUACCCCGUUGAAAAACCAGUACCGUAUACAGUUCAAGUACCAGUCGACAGGCCAUACCCGGUACAAGUUCCAGUUGAUAAACCAGUGCCGUACACAGUUGAAAAGCCUGUGCCAUACCCAGUAAGAGUAAAUGUCGACAGACCGUACCCAGUAGAAAAACCAGUGCCGUACCCAGUAGCCGUUGAAAAGCCAGUGCCAUACCCAGUAGAGAAGGCCGUGCCAUACACAGUUGAAAAACGCGUACCUUACCCAGUUGAAAAGCCUGUACCAUACCCAGUUAAAUACGAGGUCCCAGUUAAUGUUCCAUAUCCGGUGCAAGUUAAAGUUCCAGUAUCUGUAGAUAGGCCUGUGCCUUACACAGUUGAAAAGAAGGUCCCUUACCCAGUUCAGGUACCAUACGAAGUUAAGGUUCCAGUACCAGUCGCAGCGCCGAUUCAACGCCUCGCUACUGUCCACUACUAUGAAGGUUCAGCUCCAUCAGCUGCUUUAGGAUACGAAUCAUCUCAAGGUCUUACUGCAGGUCAAUCAGGUUACAGCAAAUUCUUCUCUGGCCUAGGACCAGCUUCCGGUAGUGCAUUCUACAGUUCCACAUCCAGCCCAGCUAGUUUCUACAGUUCUACACCAGCAUCAGCUAGUGCAUUCUACAGUUCCACCUCCAGCCCGGCUAGUUUCUAUAGUUCUACACCAGCAUCAGCUAGUGCGUUUAGCUCUACUGCUAGCCCGAUUGGUUUCAGCUCUACCGCUAGCCCAACUGGAUUCUAUGGCUCAAAUGCUGCUCAAGACAGUUUCUUAAGCUCAUCAGGCGCGGCGGCUCCAUUUAACUUCGGGCAAAAUUCUUUCUACGCUUCUUCGGUACCGGCUUCCACCAGCUCCGUUUCGUCUAGUUCAGUGGCAUCUAAUUUGGGCCAAGAAUCAUUCGACAUUGUAAAGAAAUAGAUUACUAAGUACCCGAUUGUAUUUAAAAAUGUUUUCACGCUUCCAAAAUAACAGAAACGUGUUUCU
rnacentral:lncRNA from 1 species